GCCGCGGUAGCUCAAUCGGUAGAGCAUCGCACGUGUAAUGUGAUGGCGUAGGAUCGUUUCCUAUCUGCGGCA